rnacentral:rRNA from 1 species
GAGGUCCCGCCUGCCCGGUGACUAUAUGUUUAACGGCCGCGGUAUUUUGACCGUGCGAAGGUAGCGUAAUCACUUGUCUUUUAAAUGGAGACCUGUAUGAAUGGCAUAACGAGGGCUUAACUGUCUCCUCUUUCCAGUCAAUGAAAUUGAUCUCCCCGUGCAGAAGCCGGGAUAAACACAUAAGACGAGAAGACCCUAUGGAGCUUUAGACACCAAGACAGAUCAUGUUAAAUACCCCUUAAUAAAGACCCGAACUUAAUGAUCCCCUGUCCUAAUGUCUUCGGUUGGGGCGACCAUGGGGCAGCACAAAACCCCCAUGCGGACUGGGAGAACAAACCCAAAACCCUUUUCCCAUACUCCCACAAGCAAGAGUUACAACUCUAACUAACAGAAUCUCUGACCUCUUACGAUCCGGCUUCCGCCGAUCAACGGACCAAGUUACCCUAGGGAUAACAGCGCAAUCCCCUUUUAGAGCCCAUAUCGACAAGGGGGUUUACGACCUCGAUGUUGGAUCAGGACAUCCUAAUGGUGCAGCCGCUAUUAAGGGUUCGUUUGUUCAACGAUUAAAGUCCUACGUGAUCUG